AGCAGAGAAGUGAUGUGAAUGAGAUCAGUGGCUACCGUGCGGGGAGUGGAGGGGACAAGACGAGUUGGGAAGGUGGGGCUCCUGAGGAAGGCCAAAUCAGCGCAUUCACCCCAGCAUUUAGGACCCUGCUCUGCCACUACACUAAUUGUGCGGCUUGAGCACCUACUCUGUGCCAGACACCCGGCCUCUUGUAGGCUCUGUGGGGCGGACACAUCAGUUUCCAGGCCAGGACAGCCUUCGGAGCUCUGGAGAGUCAUUCUGGCAGCGGCCUCUUCUCUGGGGCUCAGAACAGGCUGUGUGGAGAUGCUGUGUCUGGCCGCGGAGAGUGAAUGAAUCAAAGUUCUGUGGUUAAAAAUAAAAACACUGAAGUAAAACCAAAA